rnacentral:rRNA from 1 species
GCCUCGCACGCCACUCCACCGCGUGAUGCGAUGCGACGCGACGCGACGCGGUACGGGCCCGACAGCGAAGCAAGGUAAUUACGCGCUGCUCCGAGGGCCUAAGUGCAAGAAAGCCGACGACGAGGCAAGGAGUGCCGGAGGAGCAGCAGCUUGCGCCCACUAUAGAAAUCCCUCGCCCUCCGUCUCCGCUCCCCCCAAAUCCCCCGAAUUUGACCCGUUUCUCCGCCGAUUCGCGUCACCCCCCCUUUCUGCUCGGGUCGGUGAGUGGUCUCAACCCCCGGAGGGAUGGGGUACCUGAGCACCGUCAUCGGCCACCCCACGGACGGAUCGCCGGUCAGCGGCGGCGGCCUCAGCCAGAAUGGUAAGUUUAGCUAUGGUUAUGCGAGCUCCCUGGGUAAAAGGGCUUCCAUGGAAGACUUCUAUGAGACAAGAAUUGAAAGUGUCGAUGGGCAGCUUAUUGGUUUAUUCGGAGUUUUUGAUGGUCAUGGUGGUGCUAAAGUAGCUGAGUAUGUCAAACACAACCUCUUCAGCCAUCUUCUUAGGCAUCCAAAGUUCAUGAGCGACACAAAAGUGGCUAUAGAUGAUUCUUAUAAAAGUACCGACAGUGAGUUCUUGGAAUCUGACAGUACUCAAAACCAGUGUGGGUCAACAGCAUCAACUGCUGUACUUGUUGGUAAUCGUCUCUUUGUCGCAAAUGUUGGAGACUCCAGGGCUAUCAUAUGCAGGGCAGGAAAUGCUGUACCUGUUUCGAAAGAUCACAAGCCUGAUCAGACAGAUGAGCGGCAACGUAUUGAAGAAGCUGGAGGUUUUGUUAUGUGGGCAGGAACAUGGCGUGUUGGUGGUGUACUUGCUGUUUCUCGCGCUUUUGGUGACAAGCUCUUAAAGCAGUAUGUAGUUGUGGAUCCAGAGAUCCGGGAGGAAAUCGUUGACGAGUCCCUGGAGUUUCUCAUCCUUGCAAGCGAUGGGCUGUGGGAUGUGGUCUCUAACGAGGAGGCUGUCGAUAUGACCCGGUCAAUACAAGACCCAGAGGAAGCUGCUAAGAGGCUCUUGCAGGAGGCCUACAAGCGGGAGAGCAGUGACAACAUAACCUGCGUCGUCGUGCGCUUCUUUCACGGGCAAGGGAGUAGUGGGCCUGCUUAAAGCAGGUGCGAAGAGUUACUCUCAACUUCUCAAGUCGACGUUGUACUGUGAUGACACGCGUACAUGCCUUGAUUGAUUCUUAAGGUUUAAACGAAGAGAAACUGGAAGUAGGAAAAGUGUACUCUGAUAUGAGAACAAAAGUUUAGGAACGAAGUGUGCCCUAGGCCUUAGAUUUAACAAUAAAUUUGCUGGUGAUGAACUGAUGACCGUUCAUCGUGGUUUAGUUGUGGAUGGUGUUGGGUCUGAUGAGUGUGUUGUAUCUUGUUGUGGAUUGCCAAACCAUGUGUGAGUGUGAUGUAAGCGAUUAUUGUUGUACUGAAAUUGAGCAAUGACAAGUAUAAUUGAGUUGU